AAUAAGUGCAGUUUUGCGUUGUUCAUAUUCCACAUUUGACCGUUCGUAUUAUUUGAAAUUUUUUAUGAUUAGUAUUUUUAUUGUUAUUAGAUGACAAAGCAUGAAUAGUACUUUAUGUGUGACUAUUUUUUUAAUUUCUUUUCAUAAAUUUUUCAAAUAAGACGGAUGGUCAAAUGUUGGACACGGAUUCCCACGGUUGCACUUAUU
rfam:Oryza glumipatula chromosome 6, whole genome shotgun sequence.